CACACCCCCGCCACAUAGAUCAUAUCACUACUGUGAGAUAAAAGUGAAAGAGCAGCUCACAGAUCAGUGGGAAGUCACAUCAGGAGAACAUUAAGUAUUUGUAGCGUGUGAUUCCCUUGUGUUUUCAGUCUGUGAAACAGCUGUUUGUCCCUUCACCAGGCAGUGAUGGCAGCAGCAGCGUUCAGGAGCAGAGGACUGGCUGGUGUCAGAAACACCAACGUUUUAAUCCUCAUCUUUCUGCUGUCCCUGGUUUAUGUCACAAAUUCACUGAUGAAAAUUCAUUGAGAGUAACAAACUAGAGACUACAUCCAAAUAUGCCUUCAGAGGACUCAGGGACCUGACUCACUUGUCUUUGGCAAACAAUAACAUUAAAGCCUUGCCCAGGGACCUCCUCAUUGA